rnacentral:rRNA from 1 species
GAUGAACGCUGGCGGCGUGCCUAAUACAUGCAAGUCGAGCGAACAGACGAGGAGCUUGCUCCUCUGACGUUAGCGGCGGACGGGUGAGUAACACGUGGAUAACCUACCUAUAAGACUGGGAUAACUUCGGGAAACCGGAGCUAAUACCGGAUAAUAUAUUGAACCGCAUGGUUCAAUAGUGAAAGACGGUUUUGCUGUCACUUAUAGAUGGAUCCGCGCCGCAUUAGCUAGUUGGUAAGGUAACGGCUUACCAAGGCAACGAUGCGUAGCCGACCUGAGAGGGGGAUCGGCCACAUUGGAACGGAGACACGGUCCAGACUCCUACGGGAGGCAGCAGUAGGGAAUCUUCCGCAAUGGGCGAAAGCCUGACGGAGCAACGCCGCGUGAGUGAUGAAGGUCUUCGGAUCGUAAAACUCUGUUAUUAGGGAAGAACAAAUGUGUAAGUAACUAUGCACGGCUUGACGGUACCUAAUCAGAAAGCCACGGCUAACUACGUG